rnacentral:miRNA from 5 species
GUCAUUUUUGUGAUUUGCAGCU